UUCAUAUAAAUAUAUAUCUGAUGUAUGAUGAGAUGUCAGUGUGAGUUCAGAUCUCAGUGAAGUCACAGCCACAGUUUAAUAAAAGGCACAGCAGAAGUAAAAGCAGACACACAAAGCCAGUGGAAAUUAUCACAGAGACACAACAUGGCUCCCAUUGCCGUGGUAACAGUAACUGUGUAAUACAACACAACAUAUCUGAGCAUGAACUGGCCUGGGUGCAGUCGCUGGGUCUCUGACCCCCCUCCCCUCCACGGUGUUCAUCCGGUACUGUGUUUCCUGCCGCUCUGAGCUCAUCUCAUCUGGGACUCACAAGGAGAGAGAGAGGUUCGCCUGGCAGAGCGACUGAGUCUCUGACCAGGACUCUGCUGGUGGUCUGGUAUGGUGUUAGCAGCUGUUUCCAGGUCUGUUUCUGGACUUUUUGGUGCCUCAGAUAGGACUGAUCUGUGUCAUGUCACCUGUCCGUUAUAGAAGCUUUACAUGCACACAAACCCCUGACUUCAUUCAUCCUGGUCCAUUAAUUAAUUAAUCAGAAACAACUGAUCUGGUUCCAGCUUCUCAUUUGGCUCUUUAAAAUGAUUGAUUAAUUAAUUAAGACAGUAAUCAUUAGAUGCCGCUCCUCUCAGUAAAACCAGCUCCUGUGUCUUUUUCUCUCCUCAGUGUGGGUCCUGUGGUUUCCGUGGUAAUAGAACAAGCCGUGGCACCGAGCUGAAUAAAGUUCAACCACAGCAACUUAGACAUCAGCGGUCUGGAAAUACAGAGACAGAGAGUGAGCAGCAGGCGUUUGUCUCUGUGGAAUCCCACUGUACCAGGAGAAGGAAUAAGAUGAAACACAGUGAUGUUAUUUUCAGGUGUAGAUCUGCUGGACCACGUCUCAAGGAGAGCAGCUUAUUACAGAU